CACAAAUAUAAAAGACAGAGGGAGAUCUACUAAGCAGUGAAUAUUGGAUAAUUGGUAUAAUACCAAAGAUAUAAUGUCUUGUAUAUUCAAAUACCAUCCUCAAUUGAUAUAGGAAAAAUGAUGAUGAUGAUAAAUUACUUAGUCGAAAAAGUUAACAAUACCCGGUAUAGGGAGUUUGCCAGAGGAGUAGGAGUUGUAUUUCGUUAGUUUGCCGGACCUGCACUGAGAUUCCCGCUCUUACAGGGCGAAAAAAUGGCUGCUGUCACCAGAAGAGACGACAGAACCAAG